rnacentral:sRNA from 1 species
GGGUCAGGUUGGGAAAACAUGAGGAAUGGCUGACUCCAAAGCAUGUGGUGGGUGUAGGGUGAUGAAAGGAGGCCCAGUUGUCACUCACUCCUCUCUCCCUCCGAAGGGUGCUGGCUGAGCUGCUGGAGCUAGGGUGUCCUGAGCAGAGCCUGCGGGACGCCAUCACCCUGGACCUCUUCUGCCACGCGCUCAUUUUCUGCCGCCAGCAGGGCUUCUCACUGGAGCAGACGUCAGCAGCUUGUGCCCUGCUCCAGGAUCUUCACAAGGCUUGUAUUGGCCACGUCCAUGUCCUCCGAGCCUACAUCAAGACCCAAGUGAACAAAGAGCUGGAGCAGCUCCAGGGGCUGGUGGAGGAGCGGCUCAAGGCCAGCGAGGAAAGGCUCAGCAGCAAGUUGACUGCACUAGAGCAGCCCUUCCAGCUACCUCCGGGUAAAGGCAAGAGCAAGACCAAGUGACCCCCAACAUUUUCCCCAAUAAAGGUCUGGGCCAGAAUGGC